rnacentral:lncRNA from 1 species
UCAGCUCUUAUUAACAAGAGUUCAAAAGCCAGUCUUGCCUAGUUGAACUUCAGAGCUGUGUCCUAUUUAUUCUGUUUUUCAGUUGCUGGCAGACACGCACAGUAGGAAGUGGAUCAUGUCAUCAAUACCUCAGCAGCAUGCCAUAGAUAGAUUUAGUUAUAAUUCAAAUGAUGAAGCUCAUUUUGGAAGCAGUAGAAAUAAAUGGACUCUUGAAACAGGUUUGACAUUUGUCCUUGGAAUUGAGAUGCAGCAAAUGUGAACUAAGUGUGGCAGGCCAGUAGGGGGAGCUCCUGCACUGAGCCACCCACCUCCCUGUGCCUGACCACCUUGCAGGCUCCAGUGCCUCCUUGGGGGCGCCUCACAUCUGGCCGACCCUCUUCCUGGGGCACACCCACUAGCCUGGGGGUAAAGCUGCCACCACCCAGGGAUGGGCUUGAUUCUGGCACGAUGUCCCCUGGAAAACAGGCCUAGUAGCCCUUGAGGGUACUUAACUCACUUCAAGAACUUGGGGUGCUUCCCUCAGUUGGAAGCACCUAGUCAGGUGAACCAAGGGGACCCCAAGGCAUAAACUAGAUCUACUCCCAAUAAGUCUCCCGCAGUAGGUACAAAGGAGAACUUUAUUAAUUACAAGGGGUAGGGUUGGAAUAGGGUACAGAGUUGAGUAGUAUCACAGAAAUCCCAGCGAACAGGGUGGCUGGGGUAGCCUUUGAUCAUGCAUCUGAGUUACUGCAAGCUAUAUAUCUAGUUAGAUCUCAGGUAGCUUACUCACAAGUAUCAUCCAGAGGCAGGUGGAGAUUCCCUCUGGAGGCAAUCAGUUCAUUGAUCAUGAGUUUUGAGACAGAGACAAAGUUUCAGAUGCUCCAGUUCCUCUCUCUUUGAGUUUUCUUCAUGGGUGCUGCUCCCCUCCUCCUGGGCAGUCCUUAACUUAUAUAGCUCUUCUGACCUCAUUUACCUGGUCCAAUGGAGGCCAGCACCUGUUGACUGUCGGCCAGCCAAUUUGAAAUGCAUCCCUGGUUGCUGGGUAGACUGGCAGUCUCUAGCCCACCGGGGUCCCCAAGCCCCUCACCCAGGUAUGUGAUGCCAGUCACGUUGGCAGAGGGAGCAGGUUUCCCCCCUCCCUCAAGAAUGUAUCCAGCUUAGGUUACCUAAAGAGAUAGGGUAAGGUGUGUAUCCUCUGCUGGGCCCAUCCUAACCAAAAUUGUCACAGAGCAGAGUUUUUGGGAAGAAACAGAGGUGGCCUUCUGCCACA